rnacentral:misc_RNA from 1 species
CGAUAGCCAGCCACCAUACAAUGCCACUGCCCUCUCCCAAAGGAGGCACGGGAGCCGUAGGUUUUACUCAAAGAAAGUAUCACCCAAAGUACCAUCUGGUAGCUACCGAAUAGCCCAGGUUACCUACGAGCUGAAUGUCCUUGGUACACGUGGCCCUCGGAGGAUGCACUGCAUUAUGUGCUCGAUUCCAGCCUCAGCCCUUGAUGCAGGGGGGACCGUCCCGGGUCAGCCUGUAGACCUCGUCCCCCGUUCGCUCGAGGACUCAUUCAGGAGCAUGUCUUUCUCCAAGGCUUCUAUCAUGGAUCGGUCGAUGGACUUCAGUAGUUCUCGUUUCUCAGAGAUAUCCGGCGUAGGAGGCAAAAGUGUGGAUGAUGAGGAAGAUGAGGGG